GGCGCGUUGGCCGAGUAGUUAGGCAAAGGUCUGCAAAACCUUGUACACCGGUGCGAAUCCGGUACGCGCCUCCA
rnacentral:tRNA from 1 species